GGCCUAAUGGUCUAGUAGCAUGAUACUCCCUUCGGGAUUACGCAUCUCGCUUGCUUAUGUAAGUUUCCAAUGGGAGUGGUCCUGGGUUCAAUUCCCAGUUAGGCCC